rnacentral:rRNA from 1 species
GAGAGAUCGGCGUCCCUCGGGGACAGGGUGACAGGUGGUGCAUGGUUGUCGUCAGCUCGUGUCGUGAGAUGUUGGGUUAAGUCCCGCAACGAGCGCAACCCUUGCCUUAGUUGCCAGCACAUUAUGUGGGCACUCUAGAGGGACUGCCGGUGGACAAACCGGAGGAAGGUGGGGAUGACGUCAAUCAUCAUGCCCCUUAUGAUCUGGGCUACACACGUGCUACAAUGGCCGGUACAACGAGAAGCGAAACCGCGAGGUGAAGCAAAUCUUUAAAGCCGGUCCCAGUUCGGAUUGCAGGCUGAAACUCGCCUGCAUGAAGUUGGAGUUGCUAGUAAUCGCGGAUCAGCAUGCCGUGGUGAAUGCGUUCCCGGGUCUU